AGCCACAUCAUAUUGAAACACCAGUUCCCAUACAAACACUGAAGUUAAGCAACAUCAUGCCUUGUCAGUACUUAGACAGGUGAUUGCUUGGGAAUAUCAGGAGCUGUAAG